rnacentral:rRNA from 1 species
CAUGUCCUUUUGAUAAUAAUUUAAGGUCUAAUCUGCUCAAUGAUUAUUAAAUAGCCGCGGUAUCUUGACCGUGCUAAGGUAGCAUAAUAAUUAGUUUCUUUAUUGGGAGCUGGAAUGAAUGAUUGGACGAGAAAAUUUCUGUCUCUUUCUUAAAAAUUGAAUUUAACUUUUUAGUGAAAAGGCUUAAAUAAAAGUUAAAGACGAGAAGACCCUAUAGAGUUUAAUUAAUUAGGUGGUUUUGUUUUUAGAAUUUUGUUAAAAAAUUUAUUUAAAUUAAUUUGAUUGGGGUGAUUCCAGGAUUUAAUAAACUCUUGUUGCUAUUUAUCAUUGAUUUUUGAUUAAGGAUUCUAGAUUUAUUUAAUUUUAAAGUAAAUUACCUUAGGGAUAACAGCGUAAUCUUACUUUAGAGUUCUUAUUGAAAGUAGGGGUUGCGACCUCGAUGUUGGAUUAAAAUUAAUUGUUGGCGCAGUAGCUGAUAAAUUGAGUCUGUUCGACUUUUAAAAUUUUACAUGAUCUGAGU